GACGAGGGGUCCAAGCGUUGUUCGGAAUCAUUGGGCGUAAAGCGCGCGUAGGCGGCCCUGUAAGUCCGUUGUGAAAGUCAAAGGCUCAACCUUUGAAAGCCGAUGGAUACUGCAGGGCUAGAGUCCGGAAGAGGCGAGUGGAAUUCCUGGUGUAGCGGUGAAAUGCGUAGAUAUCAGGAGGAACACCGGUGGCGAAGGCGGCCCUCUGGACGGAUACUGACGCUGAGACGCGACAGCGUGGGGAGCAAACAGG
rnacentral:rRNA from 1 species